AUUGAACGCUGGCGGCAGGCUUAACACAUGCAAGUCGAGCGGAGAGAGGUAGCUUGCUACUGAUCUUAGCGGCGGACGGGUGAGUAAUGCUUAGGAAUCUGCCUAUCAGUGGGGGACAACAUUCCGUAAGGAAUGCUAAUACCGCAUACGUCUUACGGGAGAAAGCAGGGGAUCUUCGGACCUUGCGCUAAUAGAUGAGCCUAAGUCGGAUUAGCUAGUUGGUGGGGUAAAGGCCUACCAAGGCGACGAUCUGUAGCGGGUCUGAGAGGAUGAUCCGCCACACUGGGACUGAGACACGGCCCAGACUCCUACGGGAGGCAGCAGUGGGGAAUAUUGGACAAUGGGGGGAACCCUGAUCCAGCCAUGCCGCGUGUGUGAAGAAGGCCUUAUGGUUGUAAAGCACUUUAAGCGAGGAGGAGGCUACUGAGACUAAUACUCUUGGAUAGUGGACGUUACUCGCAGAAUAAGCACCGGCUAACUCUGUGCCAGCCGCCGCCGUAACAC
rnacentral:rRNA from 1 species